UUUAAACUGUCCAUCCUAACAUCCUUUUUUUUUUUUCUUUUUCUUCUUUCCUUCAGGUAAUAAAGAAUAGCGGCCUUGAAGAAUUAAGAGUUGGAGUCUGGCAUCUUUGGCACUUUAUAUCAUGGAAAAUGGAGGGGAACUGAUGUUGCUAUAAAACGAGUCAAUGAUAGGUGUUUUGUUGGGAAGCCUUUUGAACAAGAUCACAUGAUUGUUGUUUUUAAGUAAUUGGUUUUUCUCUACUUGUGUAAUUCGUGUAUUUUUCUUUUUGUUCCUUCACUCAAGUCCUUUUUAUUGGUUUAUAUUGUACUAGAGAGAAGAUUUUUUAAAUGAAGCACUUAAGCUUGCUGAUUUGCUCCACCCAAAUGUGGUGCUUUUUAUGGUGUUGUACUUGAUGGCCCUGGGAGAUUUGUGGCCACAAUAACAGAAUAUAUGGUCAAUUGUUCGCUCAGAAAUGAUUUGUUGAAGAAUGAAAAAUGAUGCAGGAGUCUUGACAAGCAGAAGAGCCUCUUGAUUGCUAUGGAUGCGACUUUUGGAAUGGAAUACCUGCACAUAAAGAAUAUUGUGCACUUUCAUUUGAAAAGUGAUAAUCUACUAGUCAAUCUUCGAGAUCCUCAUCGCCCAAUAUGCAAGGUUUGUUGUAUUGUUGAUAAUAGCAGAAUCAUCAUUGUAAUGCAUUCCAUUUAGUUAAACUCUUGAUUUGAUUUUUAAACAAAACAAGAGGAUAUAAAGUGUACUGUCAUUUAUCAUGAUCAUUCAUGCCCAAUAGACAUUUUGCAAAUAUUUAAUACCAUAAUUUCACUUAAUACAUGCACAUUAGUAUGAUUGAGAGGUUAGUUUUAUUAUUGUUUUAGUAAAGCACGAUGAGGAUAAAGAGAGUUGUGUUCGUUUAUCAAAUAAUUUAUCAUAUUUGGGAGGGAUCUAUUUUGACAAAAUUUCUUUCACGGUGUUGUGCAAUCUUGGAUACUUAUUACACUUUUGUGAAAAUACCAAAUAUGGUUAUUUAGGAUCUGCCAAGCAGAUUUUUCCUCAACCAUCAGGCAAUUUGAGAUGUGAAAUGUAUCACAAAUAAACGACAUUGAUCUUAUUAACAAGAAUGGGUUGAUAACCCUAAGUACAUUUACUUAGAGCACAAUCACAAUCGCAUUAGAAUAUCCUUUCCUCUCUCCCAUUGGAGAUUUAGCUUCAAUGAGACUGAAGCCAAUACUACUGAAUAAGAGGCCCGGGCAAAGGUAGAAAUUAUAGAGGAAUAUGACAUCAGAGCAUUUGAUUGUGGAGGAGAGCAUAAGUAGUUAACCUAAUAGGGAAGGUGCAUUGUGCACACAAGGAAAUUCUAAUGCGAUUGUAAAAGACAAAAAAAAAAAAAAAAAAAAAAA